rnacentral:lncRNA from 10 species
CUGGGAUUACAGUCAUGAACCACCGCGCCUGGAGAGUUCUCUUUUCUUUGGGUAGGGCAAGGCAAACUGGAAUGGAUUCACCGGAGAGCUGUGCGCAUGCCCUGGAAAGCAUUCUGGUUAGACCCAUGUGAGACAGGUUAGUUUUAUUGUGUGUUCCUCAUGUGUUGCUGCCAUGGUCAUCCUGCUCAGUAGAAGAGGAACAACAGGUUCAGACAUUUGGCCUAUGUCCUUGGCUGAGGAGCCAAUGGGGUAAAGCUACCAUAUGUAGGAUUAUGACUGAACGACUCUAAGUCAGAAUCCCGCCCAGGAGGGAUAUGGCAGCUCCACGGACCUUUUGUUGGCCUCGGAUAGGCGAUCCUCGCCGUGCGCCGGGAACCGGGGUCUGGUGCAGACAGCCCUUCAUCCUGGGAAACGCGCUGCUGCCAGAAAGGCGGUCACUCCCUGACCCAUCACGUAAUGUGUUUGUGGGGAACCUGAUGCUAAGCUAUUCGUAGACGCCCUGCUUCUGGGUCAGGGUUUUCUAUGGAGCAGAGCAGCUCCCUCCCUGCCAUCUAUUGAAAAUCAGAUCUCCACACAAGGGUCUCUCCACCCGUGUGUGGGGGACCCGGUGAUAUGGCGUGUCCUUGUGUAAUUCAACCUUUGACGUGUACUUUUCUUCCUCCCUCCUGUUGCCCCUGGGGACCUCGUUCCCUGGCCCGCUCAUGCCCACCCGCCCCGGAGCUCCGGAACACACAGCGGGUGUCUCUCGCCAGAGCCCAUCAGCGCCCGCUGUGCAUUUGGGAGGCGCCCGUCCCCACCGGCGGGCUUUCCAAGAUGCCACGCGGGGGAUUGCCGAGCGGACAGUGGGGGAACGGCGGGCAGGUCGGUGGAGUUAGAUGACAGUAAAGGUGGGCCGGCUCUGUGUGAUAAGAUUCCAACUGGGUCCGACCGCUUCCGUCCGCUGGCGCCGGGUCCCCCAGACGUCUGCGGCGAGCGUUGGAACUGACCAUCAACCUGGGAUUUCUAAGGAAUAACAGAUAACUCUGUUGGCGUGUGAGAAUGCGAUCUCGGCUCAUCGCAGCCUGGACCUUCCUGGGCUCCGUCAGGUGAUCUUGCCAUCUCAGUCUUCCAAGUGGCUGAGACUGCAGGAAUAGCUUGAUUCUGGGAUGUCGAAGCUGCAGUGAGCCAUGAUCACGCCACUGCCCUCCAGCCUGAGUGACAGAGAAAGACCCUGUUUCAGAAAGUAAGAGAGACAGGUUAAAGAAAUAACUCCUUGAAAUUACUACAAUUAAUUGUGAUCUAAAUUACUUGUUAUAUUUUUCACUCCCACUAGUUUAUUAUUAUUGUUGUUGUUAUUAUUUAUUUGUAUUAUUGUUUGUUAUAAUUGUUAUUGUUUUUAUUAUUUAGUUAUUUAGAGAUGGAGUCUUGGUCUAUCACCCAGACUGCAGUGCAGUGGCACGACCUUGGCUCACUGUAGCCUCAUAUUCCCGGGUUCAAGUUCGAGACCAACCUGGGCAAUAUGGCAUAACAACCGUGUCUACUAAAAUCUAUCACUGAUACUCCCAGGGCCGUUGGAUAUGGCAGGUGCAAGUUCGGAGGCUGAGGCAGGCGGUUCGCUAAAGUUUGGGAGUUCGAGAUGAGCCUGGGCAACAGGCUGCAGUGCAUUUGCCUGACCAAGGCCCACCACAGCCUCUACCUCCCCAGCCCAAAUGAUGCUCCCACCUCAGGCUCCAAAGGAGCUGAAACUACAGGCGCCUGCCAUCACGCCCGGCUAACUUUUUAAUUUUUUCUUUUUUAAAGUAGAGACGUGGUCUCACUGUGUUGCCAGGGCUGGUCUCAAACUGCUGGGCUCAAGUGAUUCUUCCACCUCAACCUCCCAAAGUGUUGGGAUUAUAGGUGUGAACCAUGAUGCGCUUCCCUCUUUUUCAUUUCCUUUAUUUUUCCUUUUUUCUUCCUCUUUCUUUCUUUUUCUUUCUUUCUUUUCUUUUUCUUUCUUCUCUCUCUCUUUUUCUUCCUCCCUUCUAUCAUUUCUCAUUCUCUUUUUCUGUUUCUCUUUCUAUUUUCUUCGUUAUCUUUCUUCCCUUUACAUCUCUGUCUCUUUUUCUUUACAUUUUUUUUUAAUCUUUUUUGCUGUCUGUCUUUUCUCAAUUCGUUUCCUCCCAUCCCUCCAACUGUCUGUCUUCGUGUGGAUUCUGGAAGAGUCUCCUCAUUCUGUAUCCCCUGUGUAUCACAAGCCUCUGAGACUUUUGCUUUGUUCUUUUCUCCUUGUUGCAUAAAAGGCAUUCACUCUUCUUUUAUUUUGGUACUCUGUGGACGGUCGAGGGCUGGAAAGAAAAAAAACGGACCAUGAAUUUAAUUGGUUUCACAAGAGACAUGGGAGACCAAAGAACGCACGAUGAGUACUUUGCUAAAUAUCCUGUUUAUUCUCCCAACCAGGCUCAUAAAAGUACAGAUGCAUCCGGUGGGUUGAGAGAUCUCUGUGUAGUCGUGACCCUGCAAUUAUACUUGACAGGAGCGGUGAUGACAGACGGGUGGCACAGAAACCUGCCCUUCUUUGGUACCAAUUGAGCAUGGUGACAACAUAUUCAAAAUGGCCCAUGUCUCAACUUGAUGGUCCUGUUUUUCUGCUCUGUUCUUUAGGAAUGAGUGGAGCCUUCCCGUGCUCCGCCAUUUCCUUGCAUUUUUCUUUUUACAUACAUUCAUUCACUUAUUUAUUUAUUAAUUUAUUUUAAAUAGAGUCUCAUUCUGUAGCCCAGGCUGUGGCGUGGUAUCGGCUGGCUGCAAUCUCUGCCUCCCUGGUUCCAGCGAUUCUCCUGCCUCAGCCUCCCAAGUAGCUGGGAUUACAGGCGUAUGCCACCCUACUCAGCUAACUUUUGUUUUUUUAGUAGAGACAGAGUUUCACCAUGUUGCCCAGGCUGGUGUUGAACUCCUGACCUUCAGGGAUCUGUCUGCCCCAGCCCCCCAAAGUGCUGGGAUAACAGGCGUGAGUCACUGCACCCGGCCUAAAUUGCAAUUUUUCAAAAUAAAUGUGUUUUUUGUUGUUGUUGUUGUUGUUGUUUAAUAAAUAGAGCAUCACCUAGUAACCACUGUUAUUGAAAGUCGAGGUGGCACUGAGGGAGGCCUGUCCAACUUCAC